UUGUUUUUCUCUACGCGCUGCCUGAAUAACGGAUCGUGGAGAAGUGCCUCAAUGGCGUU
rnacentral:misc_RNA from 1 species